rnacentral:rRNA from 1 species
GAUGAACGCUAGCUACAGGCUUAACACAUGCAAGUCGAGGGACCGGCGCACGGGUGAGUAACACGUAUCCAACCUGCCCUUUACUCGGGGAUAGCCUUUCGAAAGAAAGAUUAAUACCCGAUAUAAAGGAUGGGGAUGCGUUCAAUUAGGUUGUUGGUGAGGUAACGGCUCACCACGCCUGCGAUGGAUAGGGGUUCGGAGAGGAAGGUACCCCACAUUGGAGCUGGGACACUGACCAAACUCCUACGGGAGGCAGCAGGGAGGAAUAUUGGUCAAUGGGCGCUAGCCUGAACCAGCCGAGUAACGUGAAGGAGGAUGGCGUAUGGGACUUAAACUUGUUUUAGAGAAGAAUAGGUAUUAAAUGAAUAAGGAUCGGCUAACUCCGUGCCAGCAGCCGCGGUAAUUC